rnacentral:ncRNA from 1 species
CCUGUCCGGCUCACGCCCACAGGUCGGGAUGUGAUCUCGCGACGCGGGAUUGAACCAGGAA